UACAGAGGUCUCAAGCGUUGUUCGGAAUCACUGGGCGUAAAGGGUGCGUAGGCCGCACGGUAAGUCAGAGGUGAAAUCCCGGAGCUCAACUCCGGAAUGGCCUCCGAUACUGCCGUGCUCGAGGACUGGAGAGGAGACUGGAAUUCACAGUGGAGCAGUGAAAUGCGUAGAUAUUGUGAGGAACACUAGUGGCGAAGGCGACUUCCUGGCCUGUUCUUGACGCUGAGGCGCGAAAGCUAGGGUAGCAAACGGG
rnacentral:rRNA from 1 species